CUUCUCUCUUCUGCAACUCACCCUCCUUUGCUCCGUUCACGUUUCAGCACCGUGAGAAGCGUCCCUGCACCGUGAGCUUUCCAUCAAACCGAUUGGUUUUGGAUUCUGAAACGGUUUGAGGAGUUUUGGGGUUUUAAACGUUAAGGGUAGAGGAGUAUACUGGAAUCUGUUUUCUCUCUCUCUGAAGAACGAACGCACGUUGCUUAAUCCGGAUGGUGAGGCGUUACUUGAAGAAACGCUGGAAGAAGAAAAUUUGGAGGACGCCAACCUCGUCGAAGCUGAAGUGAAGGCCGAACAGUGAACGUUCGGUUCUAGUUAGUGUAUUUAGAGUAGCGAGCGGCUGUGAGCGAGCG